AAUUAAACCCUCUCUCUCGCCUUCGGACGCAUGCAAACCCCCUCCCCCUUUUCUUCUUCGCAAGCUUCAGCCCUAGUUGUCAGUCCUUCACGCAGCCGCUCGUCGUCGGGGGUCUUCAAUCUUGUCAACAUCGCCAUCGUCAUGUCCUUCCAACGAAGGUGACUCUAUGGGAUCACUACGACUAAACUGACAAGAGUGUACACCGGUGCCUAGAUAAACUAACUAACAGGAAAUGACAGGAUUGGACUGGCGAGGGACAGGCAGGAUCUUUGAUAGAGCCAUUCAGAGACAUUAGAAAACGUUUACGCACAUGUUUUCUUUUAAUAUAUGGUUUUUGUUCCUUUCAUUUGAUUAGUUGUCAGAUGACAUAUUUUCACUGAUUUUCUUUUGAUCAUUUUCUUUGUAAAUGUUUUAUUUGGG